rnacentral:rRNA from 1 species
GACGAACGCUGGCGGCGUGCCUAAUACAUGCAAGUUGAGCGCGGAAGUCUGGUCCUUGUGCCCACUGGUUGAGCAGCGAACGGGUGCGUCACGCGUGGGGAAUCUGCCUUUGAGCGGGGGACACCAUUUGGAAACGAAUGCUAAUACCGCAUAAAAUCUUUACACACAAUUUUUAAGUUUGAAAGAAGCAAUUUCAUCACUCAAAGAUGAUCCCGCGUUGUAUUAGCUAGUUGGUGAGGUAAAGGCUCACCAAGGCGAUGAUACAUAGCCGACCUGAGAGGGGGAGCGGCCAAAAUGGGACGGGGACACGGCCAAAAAUCCUGCGAGAGGGAGCAGGAGGGGACCUUUGGCAAUGGAAGAAAGGGGGAACGAGGAACGACGCGCGAGAGAAGAAGGUUGUAGGAUCGCAAAACUCAGGUGGGAGAGAAGGUUGUUGGGGAGAGUGGAACGAGCAUCAAGUGACGGUAACGAGACAGAAAGGGACGGCUAACUACGUG